AAAUUGAAGAGUUUGAUCAUGGCUCAGAUUGAACGCUGGCGGCAGGCCUAACACAUGCAAGUCGAACGGUAACAGAAAGCAGCUUGCUGCUUUGCUGACGAGUGGCGGACGGGUGAGUAAUGUCUGGGAAACUGCCUGAUGGAGGGGGAUAACUACUGGAAACGGUAGCUAAUACCGCAUAAUGUCGCAAGACCAAAGAGGGGGACCUUCGGGCCUCUUGCCAUCGGAUGUGCCCAGGUGGGAUUAGCUAGUAGGUGGGGUAACGGCUCACCUAGGCGACGAUCCCUAGCUGGUCUGAGAGGAUGACCAGCCACA
rnacentral:rRNA from 1 species